rnacentral:rRNA from 1 species
AGCCUUCUGCCUUUAUAGAAGGUAAAGCCUGCCCAGUGGAAUAUCUAAACGGCCGCGGUAUCCUAACCGUGCUAAGGUAGCAUAAUCACUUGUUUUUUAAAUAAAAACUUGUAUGAAUGGCACCACAUUUUUUAACUGUCUCCUUUUCUUUCCUUAUAAACUAUUAUUUGUGUGAAGAAACACAAAUAGCUAAGAUAGACGAAAAGACCCUGUCGAACUUCAACUUCCUCUAGACAUAAAAUAAUAGUUCUAUCUAUGAUAUUUCUAGUUAAAGUUUUGGUUGGGGCAACCCUGGAGAAAAAUCAACCUCCAAAAAAUAAAAAGACCUUUAGUAUCUUAAAACACUUAAUAAAGAACCAGUUCUUCUGGUUAACAGAAAAAGUUACCGCAGGGAUAACAGCGUUAUCUUCUCUAAGAGCCCAUAUUGACGAGAAGGCUUGCGACCUCGAUGUUGGAUUGGGGUACCCUAAAGGUGUAGCAGCUUUAAAGG